GGAUUGUGUCCAGGCAUUUGUUUCUUGACUUUAUCUCAUAUAAAACACACAGCAGCAAGCUCAGCAAGACUUAGACAAUAAAUGCAUGUUUCUAGGUUGGUGAAAAAGGAGACAGA